rnacentral:tRNA from 1 species
UCUCAUGUAGCUCAGUCAGUAAAGCAUCUGCCUGCAAUGCAGGAGAUCUGGGUUCAGUUCCUGGGUUGGGAA